CCCCGCACAAGCAGCGGAGCGUGUGGUUUAAUUCGAUGCUACACGAAGAACCUUACCAGGGUUUGACAUGCAAGUGGUGGGAAGCCGAAAGGUGACCGACCCUUCGGGGAGCUUGCACAGGUGCUGCAUGGCUGUCGUCAGCUCGCGUCGUGAGAUGUUGGGUUAAGUCCCGCAACGAGCGCAACCCCUACGUUUAGUUGCUAACGCGUGAAGGCGAGCACUCUAGACGAACUGCCGUUGACAAAACGGAGGAAGGUGGGAUGACGUCAAAUCAUCAUGCCCCUUAUGUUCUGGGCUACACACGUGCUACAAUGGCCGGUACAGACGGACGCAAAGCCGCGAGGUGGAGCAAAUCCUAAAAAGCCGGUCUCAGUUCGGAUUGCAGGCUGCAAUUCGCCUGCAUGAAGUCGGAAUCGCUAGUAAUCGCAGGUCAGCAUACUGCGGUGAAUACGUUCCCGGGCCUU
rnacentral:rRNA from 1 species